CAUCCAAUCAGUACACGGUGGCUACUAUAAAUAGUAGUAAGGCACACGCAGUUGUCAUUUGGCCAAUUGUAGCCAGGUCUUGUAGUUUCUCUUUGCAAUGGCACGUACGAAGCAGACGGCCCGCAAGUCCACCGGCGGCAAGGCCCCGCGCAAGCAGCUGGCUACCAAGGCCGCCCGCAAGAGCGCCCCGGCCACCGGCGGCGUGAAGAAGCCGCACCGCUACCGGCCCGGCACCGUGGCGCUGCGCGAGAUCCGGCGCUACCAAAAGUCCACCGAGCUGCUGAUCCGUAAGCUGCCGUUCCAGCGCCUGGUGCGCGAGAUCGCGCAAGACUUCAAGACCGACCUGCGCUUCCAGAGCUCGGCCGUGAUGGCGCUGCAGGAGGCCAGCGAGGCCUACCUGGUGGGGCUGUUCGAGGACACCAACCUUUUCCGUAGUUGCUAAAGCAUGUCUGGACGCGGCAAGGGCGGGAAGGGCCUCGGCAAGGGCGGCGCCAAGCGCCACCGCAAAGUCCUGCGCGACAACAUCCAGGGCAUCACCAAGCCCGCCAUCCGGCGCCUGGCCCGGCGCGGCGGCGUCAAGCGCAUCUCCGGCCUCAUCUACGAGGAGACCCGCGGGGUGCUGAAGGUCUUCCUGGAGAACGUGAUCCGCGACGCCGUCACCUACACGGAGCACGCCAAGCGCAAGACGGUCACGGCCAUGGACGUGGUCUACGCGCUCAAGCGCCAGGGCCGCACGCUCUACGGCUUCGGCGGCUAAGAUGCCAGAUUUAUUAGUUUGUUUUUUCCUAAUUUUUUGACCCAAAGGCCCUUCUCAGGGCCGCCCACAUACUCAAUACAUGAGCGGUAAUACUUACAUAUGGCCUUAGAUGUGGUGUGCGGUGCCUAUGUAGCUCAACCAAGGGCGCAAAGGCUGAGAAAGUGCGAAGUCCGACCCAGAUGAGCUCAAAGCCCAUGUAAGUAUCUGACCCCGUCGCUGGGUUAAGAUUACAUUGGGGAAAACUUGUGAAGUUUCCUACUGGGAAUGAACAAAACUUUCCCUUGAGCUAGCCCUUUCUGCAGCCAGUUGGAACCAGUGACCUGUCUUCUGAUUGUCUGGAGGCAAGCCGGAGGGGUUAGAAAGUGGCUGCAAGUCCAGGUGAAAUGGAGGAAAAGAACUCGUUCGCUGCAAGGUAGAAUCGAAGACUCCAGAUGUCCCCCGACCAUGUGCAGCGUGCAGAACUGAAAAGAAAGAAACCAGAUUUCUGCUUGAAGUGGCGCCCAGGUUUGGGGAGAGAAAAGGGGGCUUAGGGCUCAGCUUUGCACUGUUAAGUCUUGUUUUUCUCCUUUACAGAAUAGACUUGGUGUUGGA